GGACUUCCCUGCCACCAACUGGGAUGACAAGAGCAUCCGACAGGCCUUCAUCCGCAAGUCGGUCCUGACCGCCAGCCUGUCGUACAUGGUGGGGAUGAUCGCCAGCUUCUACAACACCGAGGCAGUCAUCAUGGCCGUGGGCAUCACCACAGCCGUCUGCUUCACCGUCGUCAUCUUCUCCAUGCAGGUGAGGGGCCUCCCGUGGCUGGGCUGUGGCCGCAGGGGCUGAGCAGCUUUCCCAGGCCCAGCCCCAUGGCCCGUUCCUCUCCCACCUGCAGACCCGCUACGACUUCACCUCAUGCAUGGGCGUGCUCCUGGUGAGCAUGGUGGUGCUCUUCAUCUUCGCCAUUCUCUGCAUCUUCAUCCGGAACCGCAUCCUGGAGAUCGUGUACGCCUCACUGGGCGCUCUGCUCUUCACCUGCUUCCUCGCAGUGGACACCCAGCUGCUACUGGGGAACAAGCAGCUGUCCCUGAGCCCAGAAGAGUAUGUGUUUGCUGCGCUGAACCUGUACACAGACAUCAUCAACAUCUUCCUGUACAUCCUCACCAUCAU
rnacentral:lncRNA from 1 species